UGUGGAGCCAUCAAAAAGAUACAGAAGCCUUUUAAGGCUUCAAUAUAAAUUGGGCAUUCUAAUUUGUAUUAGAAAAAAUAGUGAAACUUCAACAGUGAUAUUCUUCUCCAAAGCAGUACAGAUUCAAUUAAGACAAAAACAAACCACAAUAGAAUAUUUAUCUAAAAUGGUGUGUGCCAAUUGGAAUGGACAAAGUUGUGACCCUGCAAACAAGAGCAGAGACUCAGUCAGGGGUAUCCAGAACCACUUUUCACCUUUGCAAUUUAGAAAGGAUUUUGACUUUCUGGUUAGGAAAACAAAACCCAGAGAAUUAUUUUUAAAUGCAGGAAGAAAAACUGCCAGCUACACUUAUUAUAUGUUUCGCCUGUAGUGCUAGACAUUUGAAAUAACUUCAUAUUUAAAGUAAUAUUGCAGAUCAGUGUGUCUUGUACUGUGAUUGCAGACAGUGUUUUUAGCUUUCAAACAUAAACCCUUUGCAAGAGAAUGCUACUGACAUGCCCAAAUGCCCUUUGCUUUCCUAGUGGUUUCUAAAAUUUGCCUCCUUUUUAAGGCAAAAAAGGGAGAAAGGGUUGGACUGUUUUGGGGUGGGAGUGUGAAAGGCAGAUUGUUUUAAAAUUAGAAAGAGAAUGUCAUAAGUAGUCUCCAUUUAUGUAUUUCUUUUCCUAGAGGAAAAAUGAGCGGUAUUGGUGGAAAGUAUUUUGGACAGUAAUGUGGUGAUAUUAAUCAGGAAAGAGAGUCUGGCUGUUUCCUGAAGACGGGAUUCUCACACGAGGUGCUAAUACAGACACGCAAAAGACACUACAGAGUUAAAGAGAAUUUAAAAUCCUUUUCAGGUAUUCAGCUUCCAGUUAUUACUGUGCUAGCCCCAUUUCACUACUUAGGCAAUCACCAAUAGUAAUUCUGGGUAAUUGCCUACAUAGUUUUUAUGAAAAGUAACAUUUAAAAAACCCCAUCAAAAUCGUUUUUCUCCCGUUAUAUAAUCAGAAUGAAAGCCAAGACUGACAUCAGGGAGUUUACUCUUCUUUGUGGGUCAUUUUGAGGCAGAAAUUCAAGCACCUUGGAGCGAUCACUGGUUUUGAAGAGACUGCUUCUAUCAUUUAUGGUGGUACGGUAAUAUUAUAUGGGAAAAUGUGAAAUGGCGAGAGGAGUGGAGAUCAGAAUAAAGCCAAAUCGCUACAGGCUUUGAGCAGCAACGGGCUGUAAAAUUAAUAAGGAGCAACAGUUGGAUGUUGCAAGGUUAAGCUUUAAUCCAGUGCCUAGUAGAAAAAUAACUUGUUUAUCUAAAUUUCUGUUUCAUAGUGAUUGUACUGUGCGACGUAUUAAACAAAAUAGAAAUUCUUCAAGUCCAUUUAACACAUUUGAUGACACUGACAUCUUCACUCAACUUGGAUGAAAAAUAAGUCCUCCGUGGAUGAGAAUAGGGAGUAUGAUUCCAUUCCAAAUCCAUUUACAGUAGAGCUUCAAAUUGAGGAGGAAAGUUGCCUUUUUAUCAAAAUUAUUUUUUAUUGAGAGAAGCAGAACUGCGUGUUGCAUAUACAUGUCUUCUUGCAUAGUGUACAUUCUGAUACAGUUAAUUCAGCCAAUUUUCUGGUAUUAUUCUCAAGAUCUGUGCCAUGGAUAUUAGAGUCCUGUAUAUGGGUACAUUUUUCCUCUGAUUUUUUCCAUUUCUUCUUCUGGUAAUAACUGUAUAAAAUCGAGCAUUUUAGUUGAAAUUUAGAAUCAUUAAGAUUGUUCUGAAGGAUCUGAAGCUCUCCCAUAUUUUGGUAGUUAGUUAUGUUAUUGUAGAUAGAGUUGCCUCUAGCUGUUAUAUGUUCGUUUAUUUUUUUAGCUCAAGCAGAGAUGGAGAUUAAAAAUAUCUAUUCACAAACAAACAAAAACACAAACAAAAGCCUCUAUUGUUUUGCAUCCAAUUUAUACAUAAAUGAAUAUUUCAAUUUAUUUCCAGAGCUGUUGAUUUUCAGCAAAUCUUCAACUCUGAAUGCAAAAUUUGGGGGAUGAAGCAGACCACUUUUUCAAAAUGCCUGCACAUGUGCUCUGUUUAGAUUUGGGAAGAAUAAGACUGAAUAGUUUGAAUGCAAUUUUUCCUGGAAUAUCAAGUAGCAUCUAUUGCUUUGGUAAUGAAAAAGGUUGCUGGUUAGCAUGCCAAAGACUUUCUUACUGGGUACUUUUCAAAUCUUGUUGCUCAGAGAUGGAAGGGGAUUCUGUCCCUAUUGGAAAAUCACACCUGGCAAGACUUUAGGAUCCGCUCCCAUUGCCAUCAAUAGAUUCAUGUACGGAAAAUUUGGUCCAUCAACAAUACUGUCAGACAGCGGCCAGUUAAACUUGAUUUUACCAGACUCUUCUAAAAAAAUCUAGUACCCAUGACACUCUAAGACAUAGCUAUAUUAAUGACGUGUGUGUUUUUUUCUGCUGAGAUUUCAAUGUGAAAGGUUUGUGAUUUGUUCUGAUUUUGGUAAAACCUUUCACACUGGAAAUAAGGGUGGUCUUUGUAUGCCAGGGGUAAGAAGCAGCAAGGCUUAUGAUUCUGAAGAAAUCUACCAAUUGGCAGUUUGCUACAGCUGUUGAGUAAAUAUAAGCAUAUUUAAGCAUGGUUAGCCCAAAAUUAUAUGCUUUAGUUAUUAAGUAAUAAUGGUGUUGGUUGUUGUUUUUUUUAAUUUUGGUUCAUUAGCACCACUAAAUUGGAAGCCAUGACGUUUAAGAGUUAAUAAGAGUUUUGUGCCAUUAAAAUGAGUAAGCGCAGAAAAACAUUCAAGGAUCCGAAUCUGCGGAAUUUACACAAGCAGCCCUUUGCAUCUCCUGCUGGAUAUGCUGUACUGCACAGAGGCUGACAGGACCAAGACAACGGAGCCAAGUGAAUUCAGAUUUUACAGUACAAGGAAGGACAAGUUUAAGGAGGACAAGCCCCUUCAAGCUGUUCCAGCCACAUAAAUUGAACUCAUAAAGAUUUAUCUUCGUAAUCCCUUCCUCUGCUUUUCUUGACCACCUCAUUGAGAUGCGUG